rnacentral:rRNA from 1 species
CUGCGGAGGGAUCAUUACAGAGUUCUAAAAGACUCCCAAAACCAUUGUGAACGUACCCGUCAGCGUUGCCUCGGCGGGCGGCCCCUCCCUGGGGCCGCUGCCUCCCUCGGGGGGUGCCCGCCGGCGUACCAAAACUCUUUUGUAUUUUAGUGGCCUCUCUGAGAAAACAAGCAAAUAAGUUAAAACUUUCAACAACGGAUCUCUUGGUUCUGGCAUCGAUGAAGAACGCAGCGAAAUGCGAUAAGUAAUGUGAAUUGCAGAAUUCAGUGAAUCAUCGAAUCUUUGAACGCACAUUGCGCCCGCCAGUACUCUGGCGGGCAUGCCUGUUCGAGCGUCAUUUCAACCCUCAAGCCCCGCUUGGUGUUGGGGUCCUACGGCUGCCGUAGGCCCUGAAAGCUAGUGGCGGGCUCGCUAUAACUCCGAGCGUAGUAGUAAAAUAUCUCGCUAGGGAGGUGUCGCGGGUUCCGGCCGUGAAAGCCCAUCUUUUACACAAGGUUGACCUCGGAUCAGGUAGGAAUACCCGCUGAACUUAAGCAUAUCA